CGCCCAAUAGCUAGCCCACCCCAUAAAAGCAACACCCCCUAUUAAUACCCCCAAACACACCAAAAACUGCCAAACAAAACAUUUUUCCUCCCAAGUACGGGCGACGAAAAAGGAGCCUAGGCGCCAUAGAGAAAGUACCGCAAGGGAAAGCUGAAAGAGAAAUGAAACAGCUCAGUUAAGCCUAAAAAAGCAGAGACAAAACCUCGUACCUUUUGCAUCAUGAUUUAGCCAGAACCCCCAAGCAAAAAGAAUUUUAGUUUGGCCCCCCGAAACUAGGUGAGCUACUCCAAGACAGCCUAAAAAUAGGGCACACCCGUCUCUGUGGCAAAAGAGUGGGAAGAUCUUUGAGUAGAGGUGACAGACCUACCGAACCUAGUAAUAGCUGGUUGCCGGGGAAAUGAAUAGGAGUUCAGCCUCAUAAAUUCUUCCCUCCCCCGUUUUCUAGACCAUCUAUGAGAUAAAAAGAAUUUUAGAGAGUUAGUCAAAAGGGGAACAGCCCUUUCGAAACAAGACACAACUUUUUUAGGAGGUUAAAGAUCAUUUUCAUCCAAGGCAAAAACGCUCUGGUGGGCCUGAAAGCAGCCAUCCACAUGGAAAGCGUUUAAGCUCAAGCACUACCCUCGCCAACAAUACUGAUAACAUAUCCUAAACCCCUGAACUUACCCGGCUGUCCCAUACCCCUAUGGGAGUAACUAUGCUGAAAUGAGUAAUAAGAGGGCCCUUGGCUCUCUCCCAGCACACGUGUACAUCGGAACGAACCCCCACCGAACCUUAACGGCCCCAAACAAAGAGGGUAAUGUCUCAGGCCUUAAAAUAACAGGAAAAACACCCACACCAACACCGUUAACCCUACACUGGUGUGCCUGCAAGGAAAGACUAAAAGAAAAAGAAGGAACUCGGCAAACACAAAUGAAGCCUCGCCUGUUUACCAAAAACAUCGCCUCUUGAAAAAACAACAUAAGAGGCACUGCCUGCCCAGUGACCACAUGUUUAACGGCCGCGGUACUUUGACCGUGCGAAGGUAGCGUAAUCACUUGUCUUUUAAAUGAAGACCUGUAUGAAUGGCACGACGAGGGCUUAACUGUCUCUUUUUUCCAGUCAAUGAAAUUGAUCUCCCCGUGCAGAAGCGGGGGUAGUAACAUAAGACGAGAAGACCCCGUGGAGCUUUAGACGCUAGAUCAACCCUAGUCCAACACCCCUGCCUAAAAGGUUGAACGCUAUAGGAGACCGGAUCUAAUGUCUUCGGUUGGGGCGACCCCGGGGAAAGAAAAACCCCCGUGUGGAAUAGGAGUACUACACUCCCAAAUCUAAGAGCCACCUCUCAAAGCAUCAGAAAUUCUGACCAACUACGUGAUCCGGCUUAACGCCGAUUAACGGACCAAGUUACCCCAGGGAUAACAGCGCAAUCCUCUUCUAGAGCCCGUAUCGACAAGAGGGUUUACGACCUCGAUGUUGGAUCAGGACAUCCUAAUGGUGCAGCCGCUAUUAAGGGUUCGUUUGUUCAACGAUUAAAGUCCUACGUGAUCUGAGUUCAGACCGGAGUAAUCCAGGUCAGUUUCUAUCUAUGAAAUGUUUUUUUCUAGUACGAAAGGACCGAAAAGAGGAGGCCAAUACCUUAAGCACGCCUCGCCCUUACUUAAUGAAAGCAAAUAAAAUAAGCAAAAGGACAUACCCCAAUGCUAAAGAUUAUAGCGU
rnacentral:rRNA from 1 species